rnacentral:rRNA from 1 species
AUUGAACGCUGGCGGCGUGCCUAACACAUGCAAGUCGAGCGGUAACAGGUGUAGCAAUACAUGCUGACGAGCGGCGGACGGGUGAGUAACGCUUGGGAAUCUGCCUAUUAGUGGGGGACAACCCGGGGAAACUCGGGCUAAUACCGCAUACGCACUACGGUGGAAAGCCGGGGACCGCAAGGCCUGGCGCUAACAGAUGAGCCCAAGUCGGAUUAGCUAGUUGGUAGGGUAACGGCCUACCAAGGCGACGAUCCGUAACUGGUCUGAGAGGACGACCAGUCACACCGGAACUGAGACACGGUCCGGACUCCUACGGGAGGCAGCAGGUGGGGAAUAGUUGGACAAUGGGCGAAAGCCUGAAUCCAGCGACGCCGCGUGGGUGAAGAAGGCCU